rnacentral:misc_RNA from 1 species
AAGUCGUAACAAGGUUUCCGUAGGAGAACCUGCGCAAGGAUCAUUACCAAAUCCAAUUCCAACCCACUUGUGAACCUGUCUUGUAUUGUCUUCUGGGACGCUGGUUAGGGACUUUAGUCCUUGCUCGCAACCAUACAUUAACUUGUAUGAUUGGAAGCCUCUCAUUAGGCGCGUGUGUUGCUGCUGUAAGGCAAAACAACACCACAAAAAUAAACACAGCUCAAAACUGCAUCUGGCUUUCUAUUUAAAAACAAAAUGACCAUAUGUAGCUGUGGAUUUCUUUGGCCCAU